rnacentral:rRNA from 1 species
GAUGAACGCUAGCGGCAGGCUUAAUACACGCAAGUCGAGGGGUAGCAAGAUUGUAGCAAUACAAUUGUUGACGACCGGCAAACGGGUGCGGAACACGUACACAACCUUCCUACAAGUGGUAAUAGCCCAGAGAAAUUUGGAUUAAUACCCCGUAACAUAGCGAUGUGGCAUCACAUUGCUAUUAUAGCUUCGGCGCUUGUUGAUGGGUGUGCGGCUGAUUAGUUAGUUGGCGGGGUAACGGCCCACCAAGUCUACGAUCAGUAGCUGAUGUGAGAGCAUGAUCAGCCACACGGGCACUGAGACACGGGCCCGACUCCUACGGGAGGCAGCAGUAAGGAAUAUUGGACAAUGGACGCAAGUCUGAUCCAGCCAUGCCGCGUGAAGGAUUAAGGUCCUCUGGAUUGUAAACUUCUUUUAUAAGGGACGAAAAAAGGCCUUUCUAGAUCGUCUGACGGUACCUUAUGAAUAAGCACCGGCUAACUCCGUGCCAGCCGCCGCAGUAAUAC